rnacentral:rRNA from 1 species
GAAGGAUGACUGCCCUAUGGGUUGUAAACUUCUUUUAUACGGGAAUAAAGUUAGCCACGUGUGGCUUUUUGUAUGUACCGUAUGAAUAAGGAUCGGCUAACUCCGUGCCAGCAGCCGCGGUAAUACGGAGGAUCCGAGCGUUAUCCGGAUUUAUUGGGUUUAAAGGGAGCGUAGGCGGGUUGUUAAGUCAGUUGUGAAAGUUUGCGGCUCAACCGUAAAAUUGCAGUUGAUACUGGCGACCUUGAGUGCAACAGAGGUAGGCGGAAUUCGUGGUGUAGCGGUGAAAUGCUUAGAUAUCACGAAGAACUCCGAUUGCGAAGGCAGCUUACUGGAUUGUAACUGACGCUGAUGCUCGAAAGUGUGGGUAUCAAACAGGAUUAGAUACCCUGGUAGUCCACACAGUAAACGAUGAAUACUCGCUGUUGGCGAUAUACUGUCAGCGGCCAAGCGAAAGCAUUAAGUAUUCCACCUGGGGAGUACGCCGGCAACGGUGAAACUCAAAGGAAUUGACGGGGGCCCGCACAAGCGGAGGAACAUGUGGUUUAAUUCGAUGAUACGCGAGGAACCUUACCCGGGCUUAAAUUG